GACGAACGCUGGCGGCGUGCCUAAUACAUGCAAGUCGAGCGCUGAAGGUUGGUACUUGUACCGUCUGGGUGAGCAGCGCACGGGUGAGUAACGCGUGGGGAAUCUGCCUUUGUGCGGGGGACCACCAUUGGAAACGAAUGCUAAUACCGCAUAAAAACUUUAAACACAAGUUUUAAGUUUGAAAGAUGCAAUUGCAUCACUCAAAGAUGAUCCCGCGUUGUAUUAGCUUGUUGGUGAGGUAAAGGCUCACCAAGGCGAGGAUACAUAGCCGACCUGAGAGGGUGAGCAGCCACAUUGGGACUGAGACACGGCCCAAAGGGCUACGGGAGGCAGCAGUAGGGAAACUUCGGCCAUGGGCGAAAGUCUGACCGAACAACGCCGCGGGAGUGAAGAAGGUUGUCGGGUCGGAAAACUCGGUUGGUAGGGAAGAAAGUUGGUGAGAGUGGAAAGAUGAUUAAGUGACGGUAACUACUCAGAAAGGGACGGCUAACUACGUG
rnacentral:rRNA from 1 species